rnacentral:rRNA from 1 species
UACGUAGGCAGCGAGCGUUGUUCGGAGUUACUGGGCGUAAAGGGUGUGUAGGCGGUUGUUUAAGUUUGGUGUGAAAUCCCUCGGCUUAACCGGGGAACUGCGUCUGAUACUGGUUGGCUUGAAUCCGGGAGAGGGAUGUGGAAUUCCAGGUGUAGCGGUGAAAUGCGUAGAUAUCUGGAGGAACACCGGUGGCGAAGGCGGCAUCCUGGACCGGUAUUGACGCUGAGGAGCGAAAGCCAGGGGAGCAAACGGG